GAACGUUACGAAAACUCAUUUUUCUUUAAUUAAAAAAAAAUGCGGAACUAUAUAAAAUUCUUCAAUAAACAAAUAAUUGUAACGUUUAAAUUAAAAUUAUUGAAAGCGUAUCUAACCAUAAACAUAAACUCCUAAGUAAUUCAAAUAAUGCGUUCUAAAUUAAAAUAAACAAAUUGCUAAAUUUAAAAUGGCAAACUUAUUUCUUUUUCUCUAUUCUUUAUCCACUUGGCAGUCCGCAUCACCAAUUCUCCACUGUUCCAAUCGACCCGAACUAAUCUGAAAAAUUAAUGUAAGAGUGAGUAUUAAAAAUACCCAGUA
rnacentral:lncRNA from 1 species